rnacentral:lncRNA from 1 species
CCUUCCGCCACGGCCGUCUCUGGAGAGCAGCAGCCAUGGCCCUACGCUACCCUAUGGCCGUGGGCCUCAACAAGGGCCACAAAGUGACCAAGAACGUGAGCAAGCCCAGGCACAGCCGACGCCGCGGGAGGGAGCACCUUGAGAGCGGCGCGGGGCAGCGGGUUUGGGGUUCUGACGCAGGAGUAGGAGUUCGCUCAUGGAGCUGGCCCGAGGUUGCGGUGUGUGAGGUUGAGGGAUUU